rnacentral:lncRNA from 1 species
UUGAAAAGUUUAAGAGUGGGGAACGAUAAAUGAAUAAGAAAAAUUAAACAUGGAUGAAGGUAGCGUGAGAGAAGAGGGGGAAUAUGUAGAAAGGAAUAAAGGAAGAGUGAUGCCAUGCUGAUAAAAAGGAAAAGGUUGAAAGUGACUCUAAAACCACGCACCCUACAAAAAAGGUUGAAAAUGGGGAAAGAGAAAAUAAUAAAAAAACAGAAACAUAGAUAAAGAUAACAAGAAAAGGGAAAGAGUUGUAGAAAGAAAUAAAGGUAGCUUGAUGCCAUGAUGAGAAAAGGGAAAAAGUUAAAACUUUCUCCAAAAACCAACCUCCAACCACAAAAUGUUGAAAGUGCACCAUUGAAACAUAAUAAAGGUAGUGUGAUGCAACAAUGAGAAAAGGGAAAAAGACGAUGGUGUUGGUAUUAGUUUCUUAAACUACAUAG